AAGAAGACGAGAAGAGAGUUUAUCAAACAGACCGGCUGUCGAGCAAAAAGGACAGUCAAGCUGACUAAUAACAAAUGGGUGGUCAUAGGUGUUGUUGCAGACCACAAUCAUAGACUGAUUGACAAGCCAUCUCUCACUAAAUACCUCCGCUCUCACCAAGGCAUCCCGCCAGAAGACGGAAAUAUUGCAUAAAUAUUGCAUAGGUGCAACAUGGACAUAGGUCGCAUGAUGACUGUUAUGUCUGAAUUCUAUGGCCAAGCUGCAAUUGUUCCGUACAUGACGAAAAUGAUAAGCAACAUGAGAACUAGCCUUCGCAGUGCUGAGGCAAAUGAAGGUGAUUUGGCUGAGACAGUUGUCUACUUCGAGCAAAAGCAGGAAGAAGACCCAGGCUUCUUCUUCAAAAUAAAAAAAGAUGGAAUAGGCAGAGCUGAGAAUUUGUUUUGGGUUGAUGGGAGGGCUCGAGAGGUCUACGCAAAAGCUUACAAUGAUUGUAUCUCUUUUGACACGACCUACUUGACGAAUAUGUAUAACAUGCCCUUUGCUCCAUUUAUUGGGAUGAACAGGCAUGGGCAGUCUUUCAUGCUAGGUGUGGCUUCUUGCGGCAAGAGCUUGAGACUAGCUUUGAUUGGUUGUUUGGGGCCUUUCUUGAAGCUAUGCAUGGCAUUGCACCGCUCAACAUCAUAA
rnacentral:rRNA from 1 species